rnacentral:rRNA from 1 species
GACGAAGGAUCCAAGCGUUAUCCGGAUUCAUUGGGUUUAAAGGGUGCGUAGGCGGGUUUGUAAGUCCGUGGGGAAAGCCGGCAGCUCAACUGUCGAAUUGCCAUUGAUACUGCAGAUCUAGAAUAUAGAUGACGUUGGCGGAAUAUGACAUGUAGCGGUGAAAUGCGCAGAUAUCAGGAGGAACACCGGUGGCGAAGGCGGGUCUCUGGGCCGAUACUGACGCUGAGGAGCGAAAGCGUGGGGAGCGAACAGG